UUUACUUAGGUUAUUUACACAAAAAUUAUUUUUUUAAGAAAAUAAAAAAAAAAGUAUUACCUCAAGGAGUAGUAAAAAAUACUUCAAAAAAAAAUUUAAAAAGGAGGAAAGUUCAAAUCACUCCCUAUACUUUUAUCUGAUAUUCAAUUUAGUCUAAAAUUAGUUUUUUUUUCUUUUUAAUUUUAAUCUAAUUAAUUCACACCCUUUUAAUUUAAGAUUAAGCCUCUCAGCCUAAUUAUCACUCCUCCCAUCAGUGUUCAACCCAACUUUUGCUCCUCCCAAUUUGCCCUAGCACCUUUGAAAAAGAAAAAAAAAAAUUAGCACUAGCACCAGCACAAGCAACACUAACAACAACAAUAGCGAAGUUUUCUCCUUUGCUUUGAAUCCACAUUAUUUACCAGAUUGUCAAAAUGGUUUGAUUUGGGUCUCUACCAUCUCCUCAUCGCGCCACUAUAGCAGGCAUCCUUCUUGUGACUUCCAACUGAAGAAAUUUCCUCAGUGGUAAUGGACAAGAGAAUGGGAAGGAGACGGAUAAGAGAAUGAUGAUGGAGAUGAGAUAAGUAAACUGAUUAUUGUGCUUUGGUAAAAUAGUGGUGUUUUAAGUUGUUGAUAUCUUGAAAAUUGAGGUAAGCCUAGGGUUUAAUUUGGUUGGGAGAAAUUGACAUCAGUUACAGUUGAAGGAAGAUUUAGAAGAGAAGGCCAGCAAAAAGGAUGUAAAUAGACUUAAAUAAAAAAAAAUUAUUUGGCUUAA